GAUGAAGAACGUAGCGAAAUGCGAUACUUGGUGUGAAUUGCAGAAUCCCGUGAACCAUCGAGUCUUUGAACGCAAGUUGCGCCCGAAGCCAUUAGGCCGAGGGCACGCCUGCCUGGGCGUCACACGUCGUUGCCCCCCCAUCUACUCCUUCGGGAUUGCGGGGGGCGGAUGAUGGCCUCCCGUGCGCCUCGCCGCGCGGUUGGCAUAAAUGCCAAGUCCUCGGCGACGCACGCCACGACAAUCGGUGGUUGCGAAACCUCGGUUGCCCGUCGUGUGCGGUCGUCGCGCAUCGAGGGCUCGAAAAAAUUGCCGGUUUCCGGCUCGGCUUUCAACGCGACCCCAGGUCAGGCGGGGUUACCCGCUGAAUUUAAGCAUAUCAAUAAGCGGAGGA
rnacentral:misc_RNA from 1 species